rnacentral:ncRNA from 1 species
CAAUGCUCAGUGAAAAGGAAUAGUAAUAUCAGUAAGCAUGUAAUGAUAGAGAGUCGACGGGUGGUGCAAGUCGAUAUGAUACUGGUAUGAACUCACCUUGGAGAUAUGUUGCAAGAAUAUGUGGCACGCUGUGAUCGUUAGCGAUACAUAGUCAGCGUUGUUAUAAUAGUUCUGAACGACAUCGGCUUCCUACCGUUAUCAGGCAACUAAGUGAGUGAAUAGCAAAGUAUGCUUGUUCACUAACUAGGGUGGUACCGCGAGACACAACCUCUCGUCCCUAGC